rnacentral:rRNA from 1 species
AAUAAUAAAAAAAUAAUAAAUGUACUAUCACGAAAGAAAGUGAGCUAAACAUGUAUAGAUUAUUACUUACGUAGUAUAGUAUGUAUAAAAUACACGUUUAGGGGUGAUAGGCUUUUCAAACUUUCUUAUAACUUGUUUCAUAUGAAAAGUAUUUAGUACCAAGACACAUUUAAAAAGUUAAGCUUUUAAAUAAUUAUUAAAAAUAUUAUUUUUUUUGUAGUGUAGUGUAAUAGCUGUCUACAUGAUAACUUAAUAUUAAGUAUGGCAAUUUAUAUGUUAUAUUAUGAUGAUAAUGAUUGUUUCAUUAUUUAAUAAUGUUAUUAUUAGUAAAUAUUAAUAUAUGUGUUAAAGGAACUCGGCAAAUAACUGCUCAACUGUUUAUCAAAAACAUAGCUAUAUGAGUUAAUAUAUAGUUAUUUCUGCUCAAUGACUUAAAUAGCCGCAGUACUCUGACUGUGCAAAGGUAGCAUAAUCAGUUGGCUUUUAAUUAAAGUCUAGUAUGAAUGAAAAUAUGGGUGGUAACUGUCUUAACAUAUUUUUUUAAUUUAUUCAACAAGUGCAAAUACUUGUAGUUAAAAAAUAGACGAGAAGACCCUAGAAACUUGAAUUAGUUUUUGUUGGGGCGACAGAAUUACAGUUAAUUAGUUUUAUUAUACAUGACAUAAUAUUGGAAAGAAUAAGUUACUCUAGGGAUAACAGCAUAAUUUCAUUAGUUUGUGACCUCGAUGUUGGACUAGGUACUGUACCCUUAAGGCAAGGAUAUAUCAUGCUCUGUUCGAGCAAGAAUACCUACAUGAUCUGAGUUCAGACCGG